CGCAGAUGUCGGAGUGACUGGGCCCGUCCCCGUUACGCCCUCCUAUAAAUAUGCAGAUUUAUUUAAAUAGGGUCUCCCUGUCCUCGCACGCAGACAAAAUGACAAGAAAAACUAAAUUUACUGCGUGCGAGGUGGAGGUGCUGGUGGCGGAGGUGGAGGAGCGACAGCGUGUUUUGUUUGGCAGCCUGUCCAGUGGCGUCAGUGCAAAACAAAAACGCUUGGAGUGGGAGAAAGUUUCCGAGAGGGUGAACGCGGUGGGUUACAAGACACGCACCCCCGCGGAGAUUAAAAAAAAGUGGUCGGACCUCAAGGUGGAGGUCAAGCGGCGUACAGCUGCCCUCCGGAGGAGUACCGGCCAGACAGGUGGGGGUCUGGGGGAGGAGACCCUCAUGCCGUUUGAGCAGCGGGUGGUGGCGAUUAUUAUUACAGGGUAAGUGGCGUGUCACACAAAUGUCCACAUGCUUUGCCAUCCCACUGAGCAAAAGACGUAUAUUAGCCGUCUAGUCUAAGUUUAUACUUCAUUUCAACGUCGGGAUUCAGUCUAUUUUUAGACGUGAUUUAUACUUCGCCCUUAACUUCAUUUUUCGAUAACUUUUUAUGCAAUAAACAACUGUAAUGUUCAUAACUGACCUCUAAAUACUGGAUUACAUUACCUAUGAUACCGUGGAGAGAGAUGUAAACGCAACAGAUACACAGAAGCAGGAAUUGAAAUGAACCAAUAUUUUUAUUGUGUCACAGAAAUCAAUGUGCUGGCCCGCGGCAGCCCGUCCGCCGGCUCGGAGUCGUCGGCCAGGACCAGCGGCAUUCGGGCCACCCCGGCCCCAGCACCAGCACCAGC